UACUUAAUAACUAGCUUACACGAC
rnacentral:rRNA from 1 species